GGAGAGAUGGCUGAGUGGAUUAAAGCGCAUGUUUGGAAAACAUGUAUACAAAUUAAAUUUUAUGUAUCGAGGGUUCGAAUCCCUCUCUCUCCG
rnacentral:tRNA from 1 species